AAUACUGGGCUCAGCAAUUCAGCAUCAGCAGUCACUAAUCAUAUUCAUCAUCUCGUUCUGUGCUUGUGCCAAUCAAGUAAUUCAGAAGCAGCCCAAACAGGCAUUUUAUUUAUCCAUGGCCUCCAAUCAGAGAAGUAACAAGACAGGGAAUUCCAGUAAGAACCCGUAGGAUUCAUCUUCUAAGUAAGUUGUAAUGCAGUUGUAAUGCCAAAAUGAAGACGGAAAUAUACAGAUUUCAUAUGGCAUUUUUUGUACGUGAGCGAAGAGCGCGAGCGCGCUCACUUUUUUUUUUUGCGAGCGAGAGCUGAGCUACGCUCAUUUUUCAGCACUGAGCGGAAAGUUCUGAGCGCGCUCUCAAAUCAGUGAGCUACUCCCAACUCUGGAUAUAAAUAAACAAUAAGUAAAUACCUAUUUUUCUGUUCUUUGAUUAUGUAAUGGGGUUGUAACUCAGUGGUAGAGUGUUCGCUUUGCAUGCGAAAAGCCCGGAGUUCAAUCCUCCGCAACUCCAGUUUUUGUGGAGGAAUUUGUUUCUUGAAUUCAACUUAUUAGUUAUUACUAUCAAAAUAUCAUAACAUUUAAAGUAUCAAUAGCUAACAUAGGUAAUCAAAGCUAUCUAUUAUAAUUAUAUUUAAAUUUUACUACACAAACACCUUCCGAAUAAACAUUCGUAACAAAAAGUAAGAGAAGCGAUUCAUUAAUCUACUUUGAAAUUGAAUAUAUAGAGGGGUUGUAACUCAGUGGUAGAGUGUUCGCUUUGCAUGCGAAAAGCCCGGAGUUCAAUCCUCCGCAACUCCAGUUCUUUUUUCUUCUCUAUUCCAAUUCCAUAUAUUUUUCGAAAAAUCUAAAUGCCGCAACUGUCGCUCAAUUUAUGUUGUUUACUUGUACAGUUUAUGGUGCUACUUGUCACGCUAUUUUAGAUAUAAUCAUCACGCCACUUUAUUGUUGACAUUUACAUGCUGGGCAGUUUUGUACGAUAACAUCCCACAAUUGAGGGUCAUAAAUAAGGGACAACAAGCAUACACAGAAACUAAUACUACUUUGUCACAUACUCAACAGGUUCCAACCAGCAUUGUAAACUGUAGUCCAUAGACCAUGUUCCGAAAACAGUUUUCCACAUAAUGACGAGCGUUGUCAACAUCUUUCUGGCGAUUAACGUCCAUGUGAAUAAUAUGCAGACAAACCAAUCAAAAAUCCUUUGUUCUUUUUGUCGAAGCAACAAGCAUAGACGUGAAACGUCGUAAAAUGUACCUAAGCUCACCGUAGUGACCAAACUCGCAUUUUGACCAGAUACGCUUUUGCGGAAUUGAUUGUUUUUUACUUGGCAAGGACAUGUUAUCGGUUGAUCGACGCUCCUUAGAAUCGAGCACACUUUUUAUCCUCAGCAAAUAGUUAACCAAUAACAUGAAAUGGACGAACAAUUGAUGGGUCCAAUCAAACAGCAAUGAAUUUACAAAAGGAUGAUUGAAUUAUAGUUGACGACGAAUGGCAAGCCCUACAAGAUCGGUUUCGGAAUUCAGCACUGAAGGAACCUGUAAAAAGCAAUGGAAUGAAAAUUCGUGAUUUUAAACAAUUUGAAAAAUUCAGUGUUUAAUUGAGAACACAAUAAAAAUUUUCAUAAAUUGGCAA